UACGAAGGGGGCUAGCGUUGCUCGGAAUGACUGGCGUAAAGGGCGCGUAGGCGGAUUGCUUUGUCGGGCGUGAAAUUCCAGGGCUUAACCUUGGGGCUGCGUUCGAGACGGGUGAUCUUGAGUUCGGAAGAGGGUCGUGGAAUUCCCCAGUGUAGAGGUGAAAUUCGUAGAUAUUGGGAAGGAACAACCCGGUGGCGAAGGCG
rnacentral:rRNA from 1 species